AAGGUGAUCUGCAAAAUUCUUUCUAACGACUUCCAAUAUUGCAGCCUCACUCAUUUUGUCUGUGUCAGUCACCAAGUCAGUAAGUCCUUUAUAUGAGAUAUUUCGAGGCUUAUUGACUGCUUCCAUCACCACCUCAGCACCGGUCUUAGCAGCAGUCUCAACCACUUGAAUGAGCUGGCUAGGUGGUAUGGGUGGCAGCCACUUUGGGAUACUGCCUUUGAUUAGGAAGCUCAGAUAACACUGCCUUUGUAGGUAAAUUCUUUGCAGAUAAAUUCCUUCUUGUUGGUGCCGCCUUGAAGCGAAUUCCGCCAUUCACCAUGGCACAUUGGCAAUUUUCACUGAAUCUCUGUGAAACACACUUUUUUAGGUGAUGAAAAGAUGAAACUGAUCUGGGUAAGUGAGAAAAUCUAAGAGGGAUGUUUGUUGAAAAUACUAGCGAUCUGCCCAUUUGAAAGCAAAUAGAGGAAGACGAUUUUCAGGGCCUCGUCUAAGACUCUG
rnacentral:misc_RNA from 1 species